GGUGGGGCGCCGCCACCCUCCCGCCAGCCGCUCCCGCAUUAAAAUUUCAUGGGCGCUGCAGCAGCUACAAAGACGACGCCGGCUGCGCUGGGGACCAGAGGGAGGGAGGCUGCGGACGAGUGCGGGGAGGAGUUUGCGAGGGGAGGCGCUUGCAGGGGCUCCCCCAGUUCUGCGCUGGGAGCCGGGGCACAAAGAGCCCUCCGCACUCCGGCCGCAGGACCGCGGACCCGAGGGGAGCCACGGCCCCGUCCUCACAGCCCCGGCUCUCCAGCAUCCUUGUGCCCGCGCGGGAGCAGCCCAUUUCUCCGAGGUUGGCGACGACGCUGCAGGGACGGCCCUGCUCAGCGGGUGCCUCCGGACAAGUUCGUGCAGCUGAAGAGGCACCGGAACAGUUGUGCUGCUUCUCUUUCCUCUCUGUGUGCGCCUGGGCCGCAGAGGCCAGCUUCACGCUAUGUGAUCAGGUCCCCUCCACGUCCAACACGCUGAGGCCUCGCGGAUGUUAGAGAGUUGCACCAAGCUCUCAGGACGGAGCGGAAAGAAGGAAAUUUCCAGCUUCUUCGAGGCAGUCCUGGCCAUGCAGGAAAGCAGCCUUGCAGAUAAGUAUUCACAUGUACCCGCCUGUGGCCCAUCAGCCUGCCCUCAGCCAUGGCUCCUUGGCUUGGCAGUCGAGUGGGAACCUCAGCACUGUUCCCCGUGGGACACAUUCUCCCUAGUGCAAGGCUCCAGGUGUGUCUCUAGCUUUGGCCAGGUGCUGACAUCAAGCUCUGGCAGUAUGUUGAGAGGAUGGGUCCCUGACUGCCUGGCUCCAAUCUGCAGGCUGAUGAAGACGGCAUAGCUGACCAAAAACAAACCUGGGUUAGGAUUCACGGGCGUUCUCUGGCCUUCUCCAGACUGGUAGCACAGGCUGGUCUCAGAAGAGCCCCAGCUCACCCUCUUCUGGGUCCCUAGUCUCCUCGAGUACACAGGGUAUCAGGAAAGGUAUGGAGAGGGUGAGGCUGGGCAGAUGGGUCCCUCCUGUUUUCCACCUAUUGUGCACUGAAAGUAUCUCAGGACGCAGAGGUAGGGACAGACACAGACUUCGUAGCAGGGCUGGGACAGAACUGCAGACUCCUGACUCUGUCCGCUGUUCUUGCGUAGCACUCCCCAAGCUGCCUAGUUUGGCCUGCUUCUUCUGGGUCACUCUGCUGUUGGGGAGCAGGGAGGUUGCUGGGGCUACCAGGCCUCCAUAUCUCUGGGCCGGUGGCGGGGCUGGGUGUGGUUCUCUCCUGCGGCCUGGGUGGCUCUUCUGUCUUCCAGGAUGGCCCUAUCUGGAGGCUCUGCAGAAGGAGCUGGGCGUCGGGCCUGGGCCACCAAGGUGUUGGCUGGAUGCUGUGGACGUAGACCAGGCAUCUUCCUUACAGUGGACCCUGGGACCAGAGGUGAACAUCAGACAUGCGGUCCGCUUCUCUUGGCUCUUCAUGUAAGAACCCUCUUCCUCACAGUUCGGCGAGGAGGUCACUGCCCCGCACAUCUCCAGGACUCCAGACUUGCUGCGCUCUGGGGAGCUGGGUGAAUAGAUUCUGGCUGCAGGAACCCAGGAGCAGCCUUCAGUGGCCCCACCCCUGAGGACAUCUCCCUUCGCAGCCCUUGUGGGAAAAGUCUUCUGAGAAGAGCCGCUCUCGGCAGAUGGUCAGCUGAGCACCGGAUCCCGGGCCGGCACGAGCUCCAGGAGUGUGGAGAGGCCACAGCUCUCUCUCCACCCGCUCCCCUUGCUGGGCCCAAGUGUCUGAGGCUGGAGGCUGCUUCCUGACCUCAUGCGGGCUGCGCGCCUCCUCUGGCUCCCCUGUGACCACAGCUCUGCCUGGGCGAGCGUUUUCCUGAGUGCACCCUCCCAGGGCCAGGUCUCAACAGGGAUGAGGUGGGGAGGCACUGCUUGUGUGGGGUAGACUUGGCUUCUUGGGGGAACCCAGUGGAGUCUUCUGUUGUCAUUUGGGGAGGCUUCUUGGGUGAGAGCUCUCCAGGUCUCUCUCUCCCGAUGGCUCCCGAGGGGGUGGUCAGGGCUGGGGAGGAGCUAAGGCCUCCCCCACUGGGGUCUAGCAGGCAAGCGGAGGGGCAUAGGGCAGGGCAUUGUCUUGAAAAGGGGUAGAGGUGAGGAUGCUGGGGUCAGGGAGGCUGACUGGAAACAGACAGCCUUGGUCUCACUCCUGUAGUCCAAAGAGAAUCCGCUCCUCUCAAAGCUGGAAGGCCCACCUGAGCCCAGGCUUAGGGCAAGUGCUCAGCAGUUAGCCCCCUGGUCCGCAUGUAUGUGCCCAGAUCCUGUCUUUGGGAGCAGAGGCCAGCAGGACAGGCCUGUGCACAGCCUCCCAUGGGCCGUUUCCCUGUGCCCUCCCCCCGUUCCACCCACCCGCAGAGGGGACAGUCUUGCUGCGUGCAGAAGACUAGCUCGCGGCUUUCCUAAGACCAGUUUAAAAGCCGGAAGUCCUUUUCCUGGGGAGGGGAGAGUGACGGUUGUUCAUCAGCUCAGGCUACUGUAACAAUACUUAGGACAGACCCCAGGGGUUCGGUGCAUUUCUCAGGCUUCUGGAGCCCAGAAAGUCCAAGACCCAGGUGUGGGGGUUGGCUUCAGGGGAGGCCCGUACAGGUGGCACCUUCUACCGUGUCCUUACCCGGCCUUUUCUCCGUGGCGUCUUGGUGGCUUUGUAUAGUAGGACACCAGUCCUGCGGUACCAGGGACCCGUGCUCAUGACCUCAUUUUACUUCAGUCACAUCCUGAAAGGUCCUGGGUCGGCAUACAGCCCCUGGGUGGGUUGCAGAUCCAGCCUGUGCUCUUGGGGGACCACAGUUCAGCCACCACAAGCAUGGCAAGCUGCUGCCACGUCCCUCCAGGACCCCAGCCUGCAGGGAAAGGAGCAGCAAGUGAAUGGAAAACAGAGGUGCGGCCAGGGUGGGUCGAGGUGCCUCCUGGGCCCGCGGAACUGCUGGGCCCUGCACAGAGCCCAGUCCACAGAGAGCCGCACUUGAAGCCAGAUCGGGUCUCGGUGCGCCCUCUGCUGUGCAGCUCUGGGCAACUCCCCCGGCCUCCAAGAACCUUGACACCCACUGAAAUAGGCGCCAGCCCGUGUUCCUGUGAGCAGGUGCAGGGGCAGCUACAGAGAUAAUGUGCCUGGCACAGCGCUGGGCGCUUAGUCGGUGCUCAGUAAUCACUCCCACCUAGCUGGAGUUUAGAUUUAACUCUGACUUGGCACCUACUGAGCCCGAGGUGUCUCCGACGAGGCCUUCCCCUAGCUGCUGUCUUAACGACCCUUUCUAAUGAGCUUGGGGAAGAGGUCAGUUCUACUCCUCGGAAUUGAGCACCUACUUUGAGCUCACUCAUGGACCGGACCCUUGGGGAAAAUAAGUGAAGAUGCAGCCCUGGUUCAAAUCUUCAGUGCUAUCUAGCUACAGCAGAUGGGAGGAAGCCCGCUCGCAUGGAGAAUGGGGGUGACACCUACAGCAGUCGGAGAGGCUCUCGAGCAAAGCUGAGCCAACAAGGGCCUUGGAGGGCGACAAAGCUGUGGCUUAGCCCCGAGCUUCUAGGGAGAAACCAGAGCAAGAUGUUCAAAGUAAGGUCAGGCAGUGCAGGACUUAUCAGAGCCUUUGAAAUGCUCAUGGGGAUUUCAAAUACUCAGGGACAGAAUACAGGGUGAUGUGUUUCUUGGCCUUUCUGGCCACAGGAUCCUUUUCUCACAGAGCAUCACAGAACCGGGGACCAUGCAAGGCUGGGGUUUCUGAAGGGAACUUUUGUUGGUGAUAGGAGAUGUUGUAACUAGGGCACACCCAGGUGUUGCGUAGCAUUGGCUGGAAAGGAAACGUGGGGAGCCGGAAUUCAGGUCCCAGGCCAGGCAGGCUCAAUGCAGUUUGUGGGAAGGAGGGGUGGGCACGCUAGUCGUGAUGGGUGUCAUGUCUAUCAGGCAUGGGGGCUCUGGGGAUCACACCUGCGUGCGCGUGUGUGUGUGUGUGUGUGUGCACGUGUGCCUGAGUAACAGAACCCAGCCCUGUGGGAUGGGCCUGACCAGAACCAGGCAGGGUGUUUCCACCCAGGACAAGCAGUGUCCCAGCAUCUCCAGGGGAACUGUGGUGUUUGUGGGGGAGGUAGGGCUCUGAGGCCCACACCAAGAUUAGAAGUAGAAGGCAGGGUCCAAGCAGCCAGGCUCAGUUCUGGCAGGACUGAGGGCUGCAGAGGUGGAUCCCUGCCCUGGUCAGGCCCCGCACUUGGGGUGUGGGCAGAACUGGUGGACAGGAGGUUUCCGGAGCCACAGCUCAGGGGUGGGCAGUGUGUGUUAACAGUGUGUGUUAACAGUGGUGUUUACAGUGGUGUUUACAGUGCAUGGUGUGAUUAACCUACUAACCCAGGGCUCGGCUGGGACGCUGUGGCGUGUGGCGAGGUGCCUGGCCUUCUGCCAACCAACUAACCCACUAACCAGGCCCGCGCAUGCCCUACUAACCCCUGCAGCCAGACCCUACUAACUGCAGCUCAUGGGCCUUCGUAGCAGCUGGGCCGUGGGGGCAGACGAGGCUCCGGAGGGCCCGGCCCGGCUGGGGUCUCUGUGCAGAUGCUCACUGCAGACAGGGCAUGUGCGUGACCUAGCAGCUUGGCCACUUCAGUGGGGGACUUCAGCAAGUCACCUCACUUUUCUGAGCCCCUGUCCUAGGUGGGCACGGAGAGCACCGAUUCUGACCUCACUGGCUGCAGUGAGAAUUCUCUCCCUUAUGAAUGUCUUGGAGGACAAUUAAGAAAGAGGAGGGCUGGGGUUGGGGCAGAAACUUGUCUGGCAGCAGCUGCAACCUGGCCCUGGUCUCCCUGGGUGUUCUGCACACAGAUCCUUGCGCCUGGGGCCAGACACUUGCUUCGAACCCCUGUGUCUGCCCACGUUCUUCCUCCCUGUCAGCUUUCUUUUCCGUAGGCAGCUCUCCUGUCCGAUUACUAACUUGUCUAACCUGGGGGCACCUCACCUGUGCCCUGCCAGCCCUUAACAAACUAACGGACCUGUGUGCGUUAUUUCUUCUCUCCUAGCGACUCCUGUGUGUGUCCGCCAAGGCGCCCCCACCGCUGGUGCUGUGCUGACUUACUAACCCAGCCCUACUAACCCUGUUUUCUCUUCUUACUAACCCCAGCCCUGCCGAGCUCUGGGUCCCUCUGGGGGCUGGUCCCUCUCCUUCUGGCAAGCAGAGGUCCCCGGGCUGGCCCUGCAGACCGACACCCCAGGUUGGCUGCUUGUGAGAUCAGAGACCACUGGGCCAGGCCUAAGGCAGGGACGGCCUUAUUAACAACACCCAGAGGAGGAGAAGGUGGCCCUGCGGAUAUGGGAGGCUGGACUCUGAGCAUGACCUCUCUCCUCUGUGCAAAAGGCUGGUUGCCACUGGGAGUGGGCAGGGCCAGGGCAUCCUCUGGGGUGUGAGUGUGGAGGCCUGUGGGUCUACAGUGUGCAGUUCUGGGCUUUUCCCAGCCAGAAGAACAGAAAAAAGGGGCUUGUGCUUCCUUCCCUGGAAAUGUUCUUCAUUGGAAAGGGACAGAGACAGUAGCCAUUCUGGAGAGGAAGUCAAACAGGGCGUGUCCCAAAAUGGAACUCGGUCGAGGGUCCCUGCCCAUACCGGAAGUCACUCUUCGGAGCCUUUCCCAAGUAGGAAGUCAAUAAAGGGGUCUUUCCUACACUGAAAAAUUGAGGCAUUUAGUACAUAAGAAAUCAGCUACAGAGGUAUUCUCCAUACUUGAAGCUGACAAAAGGGGCAUUUUGACACUGGAAGUCACUAGAAAGGAUGGCCAAUAAUCAGUGAGGAGGCCCUUUCCCAUACAGGAAGUUGCCUAGGGAGGGGUUCUUCUAUGCCAAAAGAUGGAACAGGCCCGAAACUCACACCAGAAGUAGGUGGGGGGGGUUAGAACUUGUCACAUCCAGAAGGUAGAGGGCGUCUGUAGCUGUGUGGCAAAGGCAGUGAGGAAAACACCUGUACAAGAGCUGGGAGGUUGGCAGGGGGAGGAAGUGGGGAGCAGGACAUGAACUCCAGGGGCCCACAGGCUGGCCAGGAAGUCAGCCUCACUCCCUACCCUGUCCACGCCCCUGCCCGGCCAGCCUCCCCCAGAGCCCGCCAGUCGCUAAGCCGGGGCCACACCUGGGGGUGAUUUCAUGCCUCACCUCCAGUAGGCACCUUGGCCUCUCUGGGCUAAUCUCUAGCUACCUCGAACUAACUCUUGCUCUCACCCAGCUAAUCCCUGCUUCACCCUGGCUGCCCCAGGGGCUGACCACUAACAGCCAACCCCACCCAUCUGGGGGCUCCAGGCUCCCCGCCUGGCUUUGGCCUUGGUUCUUAAUUAACCUCUCCUUCCCCUUGACUAACUCCUGCCGUCCUGGUCUGUUCCUUUCAGCAGAAACUAAUGGCUUGUGGAUUUCUUUCUGACUAACAACAGGUGUAAGUGUCCUUGUUAGUAUCACUAUUAACAGCUUGGAUGGCAGCGUGGCCGGGAGGGUUUGGAUCCUGAGCAACAGGGAGAGGUGUAGCUAGUGAGGUCAGACUUGGCUCCUCUUGGUCAGAGCAGUCAGAUGCCAGCAGUGGCCACAGGUCUUAACAGGAGGUGCCAGGGCUGGGGUGUGGCCCGGGCCUGAUGGAGGCUGAUACUGGUGAGGUGGUGUCUGGCCUAGAGUCAGACUUCCAGAGUUUUGAACAAUGGUAUAGCCCCUUAUUUUCAUUUGCGUUGUCUCCCUUAAACAGUAAUCUCAUAGUCCACAUGAGCCGAUGUAAUUUAUGAAUCUUGACAUGCCUGUCGGGUGUGUGCAGACUAUGCAUAGAGUCAUCAGCCAUCAGCCCAGGGCCCAGAGUCCCCGCUAUGGGUAGGUCAGAGUUUUGGUAACCCCGGAGCAGACAGAAACACUCAGAUCUGCCAGCCCUUUGCAUCUUAGUGUCAUCUAAAUUGGCUUCCUCUAACUUCCAACUCUCCGAAUGGAAGUCUUUCUUGUAACCUAGUGGCACUGAGGGUCUCUUUACUGCUGGAGGAAGCCUUGCUGGUAGCAGAGAGGAGGAGCCGUAUGGCAUGGCGGCAGGGGUGCCCGGGUGGGUUAAGAGGUGGCACAGGCAGAGGGGAAUGGGAAGGGUGAUUUGUUUUGCUCUCCAGCUUGGUAGUCAGACUAUGGGAGAACAGUCAGGGUCUGGAGGACCAGAUUACUCAGCAGUUUCAGUGGCUGGCUGGGAGGCCUCAUGGACAGUAUUUGGGUCAGGGAGAGCUGUGAGAGCCCUCUCUGCCACCGCCAGGGUCUCAGAACUAACCCUUAGAGCUGGCAGUGCGAUCUGAUCCAGACAGUGGUCCAGACUCCUGAGCUACAGAGGAAAAAAAAAAAAAAAAAAAAAAAA